UCAAAAGGAACGGAAAAUGGAGACUGUUGUUAGUAAUCAAGAAAAGGAAUGGAAAAUGGAGACUGGUAAGUCAUGGAACUUAAAGGAUUGUUUGUUACCUUUUCUGAUUGUACAAAUGUGUAGGCAUACUUGCGUUUAGUAUGUAAAGCGAUGUUCUAUGUAUUUAGAAUGUUUGAUGUUCGUUUGUGCGUGUUGGUGGAGCGUAGACUCCCCGCACACCCAGCGCUGUUUACUUGCCUUUUAUACCUUUUAUAAGUAUAAAUUUUACUAAAUUCAGAUGGAGUUGAGACGUCAUUUAUAACAAAUCGGUGACCCCGACGUGAUCCUCUUGGACUUUGGAUCUGUGACCGGUAAAGGGAGGCGCCCCACAUAGUGGCCCUUGCCGAGAGUGGUGCUGGAGUCCAACAAGAUUUCAAACAUAAGAGGCAAGUAAAGAACCAAGAGCUCUUAUUUUGUGACCCGUAAUUCUGCGCACGAAGACCUGAACGAAGAUACCGUUCGGUUGGGUGGAUUCGUUUGUGUGACUGUGUGUAGGGGUGUAACUGAGAUGGAAUUUAGUUCUGAAGCUAAGAAUUCGUGGGUGGGUUAACCACUUGCAAGACACCUCUAGACACAGCCAGGGAUUCGGAACCUCUGAGGAUUCCAGGGAUUCGGAACCUCUUUGAGGGUUCCAGGGAUUCGGAACCUCUUUGAGGUAGCGUUCCAGGGAUUCGGAAUUUAUUUGAAGCUUCCAGGGAUUUGGCCAGGGAUUCGGAACCUCUUUGAGGGUUCCGGGGGUUCAGAACCUUUUUGAGGGAGGGUUCCAGGGAUUCAGAACUUAUUUGAAGGUUCCAGGGAUUCAGAACUUAUUUGAAGGUUCCAGGAUGGGUCAGGUGAAAAGGGAUCCAUACAGAAACUUGAAGUAUAUCAGGGCAUAGCUACCCCUGUUGGAUGCUAAUUGUAGUGAUUGAAAUAAUAGGUGGGAAAAUUUACCUAGAUGGUUGGUUAUUUGCUUUGAAUCGAGCCCCCACUAACUCGUGGAAAAGUUGAAUGCAAAUAGGAGAACCAUCGGGUGUGUAAGUCUGGACCAUUUCCUAAGAAGCAUCGGAGAGAGGGCAAAACCAGAGAAGAGACCAGUACUGCGGCUCAAGAAGGUUUACCAAGGGCUGCAAGCCUUUAGGGUAAUAACCACUGGGUAACGUGGCCUUUACCGGACCGCUCCUAAUUACAUGCUAUUGGUCUCAGAAUUGCAGUGAAUGUAUUGUUAACACCCGGAGAGGAAGAAUUCAGGAACAAACACUACUAUGCCUGUUAAACCUAUGCUAUGGAAACUGGAGUAUGCUCGAUGUAAUGAAAGCGAUAAGAUAACCAGUUAUGAGCCAAAAGAGGUCCCCUAUCAAUGGUGGAUAGAGGCCGUUGACAAAGCCAAAAUCAGACCGAAAAAGAGAAUCUACUGCAGUUGCCAGAAUGCCGAGGACCAGAGCAGAUGAGAAAGCUGCAAGAUGAGUUCAUGGAGAAAAUGGGGAUUUGGAGGUCCGCCGAAGCUGCAGACUUCGAUGAAGUCGUUACCCUACUACAAAUCCAUCCCUUCUGCUUGACAAAUAUAUAAGAAAGUGUCCUGGUUUCAGUUAGGACAGCACUCUUCUCAUCCUAAGCCAAAACAUAGCAUUCUACCAGCUACUAGGAAGAAAAUUAACUUUGUCCUAACUGAAACCAGGACACAAAGUAAGUCUUCUUUUCCUGCAGGCCUACUCAAAUGAUCUUUCUGAGCAAGCCUUUGUGCUCUGGCACGAUAUUGGCCUUGACUCGCUCACUCUUUUGACAACAGAGAGGUAUUGUCACUCCUGGCAUUGAGAGUUCAGUGUGUUUGGGGGUAGGCUGAGACCUCCUUACGUGCCCCCCUGUGUGUUAUGCAUUGCUACUGGUAACUACUGGCCACCAGUGACAAUUACUGGUCAGGUAUCAGAGGCUUUGGGAGUGUUUGGUCUGAGCAUUCCACUGCUUAGCAGUGUUCAUGGCUGGUGAGCGUAGGUGGUGCUCUCUUCGUCGCUCUACUAACGGUGGGCUCUUUCCUUGGCCUACACCGGUAUGUCCUGCUCUCCUUGGUAAUAACUGAUUCCUUGAAGUCAUGGUCCUUUGUAGCUUACUGCCAGACUGUGUAACCUGACUUUUGGGGGACUGGGCAUUCGUGGCUGGUUAAGUCUGCCUGGACUGAGAGGGUGUGAGAGAGGAUGAACUUGGCAGGUGCUUCAUGUCUAAAGAACUUAAGCCCAAUUGGUUUAAUUUGCUGCUGAGGUUGUAGUUUUGGGAUUGCUGUUUGAUGAGAGAUCUUCAUCCUGAGCAUGCUUUUUAUAUGGGCCUGGUGGGUUUCUGGGUUGUCUUCUGAACCGAAAUGAUUACUUUACCUGUGACUUUCAUCAGAUUUAACUUUCCCCAUCGAGCAAUUUUCUUAGUAUCAGAAGUGCCUUCAUUUUGAAUACACUUUUAGUUCCAUAGUUAUAAAAGGGAAUGUAAGGCUUGGUUAAGAAACUGAGGACAGUUUGAUACAGUCAAAGUGAAGUAGUUCUAAUGAUUCUACAUUUGUGUCUGCUGUUUAUUUCUGUUUCUGAAGCUGAAAUUGUUAUCUGCUUCAGAAUUGCCUUGCCUUGCCUGCCCUGCCCUUAUCUUCCCUGCCCUGUGCCUUCCUGUGCCCUGUGCCUUCCUGUGUUCCCUUAUCUUCCUGUGCCCUGUGCCUUCCUGUGUUCCAGAGGCAUUUGGGCAAUGCCCUCAAGAAUAUGCUUUAACUUUUGUUUAGCCCUGAAGAGGUCAGACAUUUGGACUCGAUCUUUGAAGAUCUUUCCAACCGAACUAUCUUAUUCUAGGAAAACUCGCUUCCAGCUCUUUCAAGAUAGUAGCAGCAUCAUUUCUAACUAAAAGCUUGGCCAGAUGAUUGUAACCGAAGAUUGAGUCCAAAGACUCAAACAGCUCAUCUGGAGCAAAAAUGUACGACAUGUCUUCUGGAAGUGGCUCCUGUUUAAUGUCAUUUAUCUCGUUGUCACUCGAGUUUCCAUCUGCAGCCAUUUCUGCGAGAGGCUCCUUUUGGUCCUGCCAGUGAGCAAGUGAGGCUCAAUGGACUGUCUGGGGGUUCUGGUGGGGGAAGCUCAAACGUCACCAUGACGACCCAGUGAUGAUAUCACAGUGUGGCUCUGGCUGGAGCAGCCAGAGCAGGCAUGUUGCUGGUCCUGCAACGUAGCUAUGGGUGUUUUGACUCAAGAGCCAAGAAGCAAAUAAAGUUAUUUAAAGGG